rnacentral:lncRNA from 1 species
AAACUGAAAUAUUAAUGAAAACAAGUGUACUACUUGUGUGUGGUGUGGAUUCUGCAAAUCCCAUGGCAUGUUAACAGGAAGCUGUAACCAGAAGAUGUGACCCUGGUUAUCAGGAUGUCCUAAUGGGGUUUAAAAGUUAUCAGCUGUAAGUAGAGGUGGAGGCAGGGCACAGCACUAUGGGCUCCUUGGUGCCUUCGUGUCCCUCUUCUCUGGCCCAGUUUGUCACUGGGCAGGAGGACAGGAGUUCAUCCAGGAGGGACCAGUGGCAGGAUGGAGAUGACCCUGGUGUUGGGUUGGGCCUCCCAAGGCAGGGAAGGGCCCCACAGGCACUACGCAGAGACCCGCCUCCUCUUUGUCCCCUGCCAUGGGGGAACAAAAAUUGUAGUGAUCAGAAAGUCAAGCACCAUUUGGAAUAG